GUGCUCAUUCUGGCAGCACAUUUAUUAAAAUUGGAACAUAAGGAAAAGAUUAGCAUGGCCCCUGCUCAAGGAUGACACGCAAAUUCAUGGAGCAUUCCAUAUUUUU
ensembl:snRNA U6 U6 spliceosomal RNA